rnacentral:rRNA from 1 species
UACGGGGGGGGCAAGCGUUGUUCGGAAUUACUGGGCGUAAAGGGCUCGUAGGCGGCCAACUAAGUCAGACAUGAAAUCCCUCGGCUUAACCGGGGAGCUGCGUCUGAUACUGGAUGGCUUGAAUCCGGGAGAGGGAUGCGGAAUUCCAGGUGUAGCGGUGAAAUGCGUAGAUAUCUGGAGGAACACCGGUGGCGAAGGCGGCAUCCUGGACCGGCAUUGACGCUGAGGAGCGAAAGCCAGGGGAGCAAACGGG